CGCGAAUGGCUCAUUACAACAGCUAUAAUUCACUUGAUCUUGACACAAUCCUACUUGGAUAACUGUGGUAAUUCUAGAGCUAAUACAUGCAUUAAAGCUCUGACCUCACGGAAAGAGUGCAUUUAUUAGAACAAAACCAAGCGGCUUCGGCUGUUUUCGGUUGACUCAUAGUAACUGAGCUGAUCGCAUGGUCUUGCACCGGCGACGUGUCUUUCAAGUAUCUGCCGUAUCAACUUUCGAUGGUAGUGUAUCUGACUACCAUGGUGAUCACGCGUAACGGAGAAUAAGGGUUCGACUCCGGAGAGUUCGCCUGAGAAAUCGCGAACACAUCUAAGGAAGGCAGCAGGCGCGAAAAUUACCCACUCUCAGCACGAGGAGGUAGUGACGAAAAAUAACGAGACCGUUCUCUUAUGAGGCCGGUCAUCGGAAUGGGUACAAUUUAAACCCUUUAACGAGUAUCUAUGAGAGGGCAAGUCUGGUGCCAGCAGCCGCGGUAAUUCCAGCU
rnacentral:rRNA from 1 species